GAUGAACGCUGGCGGCGUGCCUAAUACAUGCAAGUCGAGCGAACGGACGAGAAGCUUGCUUUUCUGAUGUUAGCGGCGGACGGGUGAGUAACACGUGGAUAACCUACCUAUAAGACUGGGAUAACUUCGGGAAACCGGAGCUAAUACCGGAUAAUAUUUUGAACCGCAUGGUUCAUAAGUGAAAGACGGUCUUGCUGUCACUUAUAGAUGGAUCCGCGCUGCAUUAGCUAGUUGGUAAGGUAACGGCUUACCAAGGCAACGAUGCAUAGCCGACCUGAGAGGGUGAUCGGCCACACUGGAACUGAGACACGGUCCAGACCCCUACGGGAGGCAGCAGUAGGGAAUCUUCCGCAAUGGGCGAAAGCCUGACGGAGCAACGCCGCGUGAGUGAUGAAGGUCUUCGGAUCGUAAAACUCUGUUAUUAGGGAAGAACAUAUGUGUAAGUAACUGUGCACAUCUUGACGGUACCUAAUCAGAAAGCCACGGCUAACUACGUG
rnacentral:rRNA from 1 species